GUGGGGAAUAUUGCGCAAUGGGCGAAAGCCUGACGCAGCGACGCCGCGUGAGGGAUGAAGGUUUUCGGAUCGUAAACCUCUGUCAGAAGGGAAGAAACUACGUUGUGCUAAUCAGCAGCGUACUGACGGUACCUUCAAAGGAAGCACCGGCUAACUCCGUGCCAGCAGCCGCGGUAAUACGGAGGGUGCAAGCGUUAAUCGGAAUUACUGGGCGUAAAGCGCACGUAGGCUGUAGUGUAAGUCAGGGGUGAAAUCCCACGGCUCAACCGUGGAACUGCCUUUGAUACUGCACAACUUGAAUCCGGGAGAGGGUGGCGGAAUUCCGGGUGUAGGAGUGAAAUCCGUAGAUAUCCGGAGGAACACCGGUGGCGAAGGCGGCCACCUGGACAGGUACUGACGCUGAGGCGCGAAAGCGUGGGGAGCAAACAGGAUUAGAAACCCCUGUAGUCC
rnacentral:rRNA from 1 species